rnacentral:rRNA from 1 species
CGUACACUCCUACGGGAGGCAGCAGUGGGGAAUAUUGGACAAUGGGCGCAAGCCUGAUCCAGCCAUGCCGCGUGAGUGAUGAAGGCCCUAGGGUUGUAAAGCUCUUUCACCGGUGAAGAUAAUGACGGUAACCGGAGAAGAAGCCCCGGCUAACUUCGUGCCAGCAGCCGCGGUAAUACGAAGGGGGCUAGCGUUGUUCGGAUUUACUGGGCGUAAAGCGCACGUAGGCGGACUAUUAAGUCAGGGGUGAAAUCCCGGGGCUCAACCCCGGAACUGCCUUUGAUACUGGUAGUCUUGAGUUCGAGAGAGGUGAGUGGAAUUCCGAGUGUAGAGGUGAAAUUCGUAGAUAUUCGGAGGAACACCAGUGGCGAAGGCGGCUCACUGGCUCGAUACUGACGCUGAGGUGCGAAAGCGUGGGGAGCAAACAGGAUUAGAUACCCCGGUAGUCCCAU